AUACGUAGGGAGCGAGCGUUGUCCGGAAUUACUGGGUGUAAAGGGAGCGUAGGCGGGAUGGCAAGUUGGAUGUUUAAACUAACGGCUCAACUGUUAGGUGCAUCCAAAGCUGCUGUUCUUGAGUGAAGUAGAGGCAGGCGGAAUUCCUAGUGUAGCGGUGAAAUGCGUAGAUAUUAGGAGGAACACCAGUGGCGAAGGCGGCCUGCUGGGCUUUAACUGACGCUGAGGCUCGAAAGCGUGGGGAGC
rnacentral:rRNA from 1 species